GGCGCUAUAGUGUAGUGGUUAUCACUCGGGAUUCUGAUCUUAUCUUCCCGAAACCCAGGUUCGAACCCUGGUAGCGCCU